rnacentral:rRNA from 1 species
AUUGAACGCUGGCGGCAGGCCUAACACAUGCAAGUCGAGCGGAUGAAGGGAGCUUGCUCCUGGAUUCAGCGGCGGACGGGUGAGUAAUGCCUAGGAAUCUGCCUGGUAGUGGGGGAUAACGUCCGGAAACGGGCGCUAAUACCGCAUACGUCCUGAGGGAGAAAGUGGGGGAUCUUCGGACCUCACGCUAUCAGAUGAGCCUAGGUCGGAUUAGCUAGUUGGUGAGGUAAAGGCCUACCAAGGCGACGAUCCGUAACUGGCCUGAGAGGAUGAUCAGUCACACUGGAACUGAGACACGGUCCAGACUCCUACGGGAGGCAGCAGUGGGGAAUAUUGGGCAAUGGGCGAAAGCCUGAUCCAGCCAUGCCGCGUGUGUGAAGAAGGUCUUCGGAUUGUAAAGCACUUUAAGUUGGGAGGAAGGGCAGUAAGUUUAUACCUUGCUGUUUUGACGUUACCAACAGAAUAAGCACCGGCUAACUUCGUG